UUGGGAGACAUUUCUAAAUUUGAAGAGCUAAAAAUGUACUGUGAGAAGAGUUAUCCCACCGCAUUUGAACUACAACGUGCUACCAAUGAAUAUUAAACAAAAACAAUGCAAGAUUAUCUACAUCACUAGGAAUCCAAAAGAUACAGCUGUUUCACUCUUCCACUACUACAGAGAGAACCCUAAUCUCCCUGGCAUUGAAACGUGGCAUGAAUUGUUUGAGCUGUUCCUAAGAGGAGAUGGCCCUACUCUGGACACUGGGAUAUAUAAUCCAUUUUCUUGAGAAACUCUCAGCGGAUUGGUAGAGACAGCGAGAGGUCCUCCUCCAGUCCUCUUUCUCUUUCCCUACUGAGAGGACACAGGAACUGGGGGAAACUCUUAAGCAAAUGUACUGGGUAUCUCAGCUUGCAUCCUGACAUGUAAGAAUAUUUUUGUAAGUCUGGAACAUUAGGCAUGGACAACAUAACUGUUUUCCUACUAAGAAAAUAUUCUUCCUAAGGUAAGAAUGAAUAUGAGUACAGAGUUUUGUCAAAUCCAAUGUUAUUGUCAGAAGAGAGUGUGUUUGCAUUUUUCACUUAAUUGUCAAUCAGUUCGGUCGUCCUCAGCCUGAGAGCAGGGAGCUGCAAUGAAAAAGGAAGCAAAACCUCAGAAAGCUGUCAUUCUACAGCCUCCAUGAGACAUUGAGUCCUGGUGGCACUGGUGACCCAGGGACAGAAUGUAAGCAGUGUUGACAACAGCUGCAAUGGUGAUGUGGAUGAUGGUAAAGGGCUGGUUUCAGUGCCUUCUAUUCCUGCAUAUAAGGUAUCAGAACCCCUGCCUAGAGAUCAGAAUCCUUGGUCCUGAGCAACUUGGCAUCAUCAGUAGUACUUCCUGUGGGGCAGUGUCUGGACAGUGAUACUGUCAAUGGGUAACAAUGGCAUAGCUGCCCCUCUUAGGUGUAAUUUGACACAUUUUCUCUGGGAUCUGAACCGAGAGUUAAAAAAAACCCAAACAAACAGUAGGUUCCCCCAUGGCAGUCAACAGAAUGUUAUUAGGAUCCAUGUAAGACACCCACUGGAUGUUCUUCAAUUUAUUUGGGAAGAUCUUCUGAGGGAUAGGUUUCUUGAGGAGUAAGUAGGAUUGCAGAUAGCUUUAAAAAAAGAAAAAAAAAAGUUGUUUUUGUAACCUUUUUCUUGGAUCCAAACUGCUGUGAUUCAGGAAACGUAGGUGAUGAUCAGAAGAAUGAUCUCUGCUUUCUCUUCCCGAGUCUUCCAAGCUCUGCUGCUCUUCUGAGUAUCUGUGUAGACGCUGAGGUGUGCCGCUCAAAUCUCCCUUCCAAAUGGUCUGCCACCCAGACACGAGGAGUGCAGGACCUGACAGUCUCCAGCGUUUGGCUCCCUUGGGAUGUGCCUCAGCUUUUGAACAGAGGUCAAGUUCUCGGCGUGCCCCCCAGCCAGUGAUGGAGCAAAGCGAUGCUGCAAGGUGGUACAAGGGCUUAGCUUUGGACAAUCGCUGCUCCAGAGAUCCUUGACGGGCUGGCACAGCUUUUGCCAUGUGUGUGUCAUGGUCUGACAGCCCCCCCGUCCAAUCCUACCUCCUUCUGUUUCCUUUUAAGGUGUUAUACUCAUUAAUAAACCAUCUGCACACACAACUCAUCUCAGUAUCUGCUUUC